UCAAGAUAAGGAAGGGCUUGUGGGGGAUACCUUGGCAUCCAGAAGCGAGGAAGGACGCGAUUACCGGCGAUACGCUCCGGGGAGCUGGUAGUAAGCUUUGAUCCGGAGGUUUCCGAAUGAGGAAACUCCCUUGAACUUCUUCUUUAAUUCAUAGAGAAGAAAGAGCGAACCCGGAGAAUUGAAACAUCUUAGUAACCGGAGGAAAAGAAAGUAAUAACGAUUCCCUUAGUAGCGGCGAGCGAAGCGGGAAGAGCCCAAACCAGUCUAUUAGGCUGGGGUUGUGGGAUCAAAGACUCGAUUCAAAUUAAAAUCUAUUUCUGAGUAUGUGAAAAAAUAGGUGGAAGCCUAUACCAAAGAAAGUGAAAGUCUUGUAUUCCAAUUCUCUCUAUAGAAAUCACUUGUUUAGACAUCACGUCACUAGUCUUUGACUCCCGAGUAGCAUGGAGCACGUGAAAUUCCGUGUGAAUCCGCAAGGACCACCUUGUAAGGCUAAAUAUUCCUGGAUGACCGAUAGUGAACCAGUACCGUGAGGGAAAGGUGAAAAGAACCCCGGGAGGGGAGUGAAAUAGCACAUGAAACCACAAGCCUACAAGCAGUAGAAGGACGACUGAUCGUCUAACUGCGUGCCUGUUGAAGAAUGAGCCGGCGACUUGUACCGACCGGCAGGUUAAGAAAACGGAGCCAUAGUGAAAGCGAGCUUAAAAAGAGCGUUUGUCCGUCGGUACAGACCCGAACCCGGAUGAUCUAACCAUGACCAGGAUGAAGCUUAGGUAACACUAAGUGGAGGUCCGAACUGACUGAUCUUGAAAAAUCAGCGGAUGAGUUGUGGUUAGGGGUGAAAUGCCAAUCGAAUUCGGAGCUAGCUGGUUCUCCCCGAAAUGUGUUUAGGCGCAGCGGUUAACAGAAAACUUAGGGGUAAAGCACUGUUUCGGUGCGGGCUGGUAAUUCGGUACCAAAUCGAGGCAAACUCUGAAUACUAAGUGCCUCUCUUGCGGGAGAGGAGCGUUAACUAGUAAGACUCUGGGGGAUAAGCUCCAGUGUCAAGAGGGAAACAGCCCAGACCACCAGCUAAGGCCCCUAAAUGGUAGCUAAGUGAACAAGGAAGUGGGAAGGCCGUAACAACCAGGAGGUUUGCUUAGAAGCAGCAAUCCUUUAAAGAGUGCGUAAUAGCUCACUGGUCGAGCCGUCUUGCGCCGAAAAUUAGCGGGACUAAGUUACCUGCCGAAGCUGUGGGGUAGAGACCGGUCCAUUAGGUAUUGGAAACAAUAAGUGCGGUUUUAUCUACCGGUAGGGGAGCGUUCUGCAGUAGACUGAAGCAUCAGCGGGAGCGGGUGUGGACGAAGCAGAAGUGAGAAUGUCGGCUUGAGUAGCGAAAACAUUGGUGAGAAUCCAAUGCCCCGAAAACCUAAGGAUUCCUUUGCAAGGCUCGUCCGCGAAGGGUUAGUCAGGACCUAAGGCGAGGCCGAAAGGCGUAGUCGAUGGACAACAGGUUAAUAUUCCUGUACCACUUUUAGUUGAUAGCAAGGGACGGAGAAGGCUAAACUGGCCAGAUGAUGGUUACUGGUUCAAACGGUAUAGGUGUUGAGAGGAAGUCAACCUUCCUUGAGCUAAGCCGUGAGUACAAGAUACUUCGGUAUCAAAGCAGUCUAUGUCACGCUUCCAAGAAAAGCUUGUCCUAUCAUAAAUUAAAAGUGCCUGUACCAGAAACCGACACAGGUAGGUGGGUAGAGUAUACUCAGGGGCGCGAGAGAACUCUCUCUAAGGAACUCGGCAAAAUAGCCCCGUAACUUCGGGAGAAGGGGUGCCUUUAAAAAAGGUUGCAAUAACCAGGUCCAAGCGACUGUUUACCAAAAACACAGGUCUCCGCUAAGUCGUAAGACGAUGUAUGGGGGCUGACGCCUGCCCAGUGCCGGAAGGUUAAAGACGUUGGUUCGCGUAAGCAAAGCUAAUUACUGAAGCCCCGGUGAACGGCGGCCGUAACUAUAACGGUCCUAAGGUAGCGAAAUUCCUUGUCGGGUAAGUUCCGACCCGCACGAAAGGCGUAACGAUUU
rnacentral:rRNA from 1 species